UCUAAAGUAGUGCACUACGGAGGGAGUAGGGUUCCAUAGGGCUCUGGUCUAAAGUAGUGCACUACGGAGGGACUAGGGUGCCAUUUGGGACGUAGAUUCAUUAUUUUGGUUUAAGAUCCCAACAUCCUCUGAAAGAGUUUUAAUCGUGGGAACAAUCCCCCUGCAAGCCAUGGUUAUAUUAUACAUAUUAUAUUCCUCUAAAUGAUUUUAUUAUAUUAGGAAUAAAAGAUUAGCUCAGUUCUCUACAUGAGCAUGCUACUGUGUGCUCUCUACCGGUGGGGUGGUGGGUGACUACACAGGGAAAGGGUUGGUUGUGAAUAGGUUUGAAAAUGUUUCUAAAUUUCUAGGUUUUCCAAAAAUCCCGGUUUGGAGAUUUCCAUAUUGAGAGAACAAGCAGAACAUCCAGGAAUCCUUCUUCCAGGUUUCCUGGAAAACCUGGGAAUUGUAGAAAAUGACUGUAAUUUUGCAACCCUAGUCGGGAGGUUGUUGGUUUAUUUACCAGUUGGAAGACGGACGAUGACAUCAGUUUUUUUUUUUACUACUAUUAUAGACUACUAUAGCUGUUGGAAGAGGUUAUAAGCUAUAGCUUUUGUAAAAGGUUAUAAGCUCUAGCUGUUGGAAGAGGUUAUAAGCUCUAGUUGUUGGAAGAGAUUAUAAGCUCUAUCUGUUGGAAGAGGUUAUAAGCUCUAGCUGUUGGAAGAGGUUAUACGCUCUAUCUGUUGGAAGAGGUUAUAAGCUCUAUCUGUUGGAAGAGGUUAUAAGCUCUAGUUGUUGGAAGAGGUUAUAAGCUCUAUCUGUUGGAAGAGGUUAUAAGCUCUAGCUGUUGGAAGAGGUUAUAAGCUCUAUCUGUUGGAAGAGGUUAUACGCUCUAUCUGUUGGAAGAGGUUAUAAGCUCUAUCUGUUGGAAGAGGUUAUAAGCUCCUUCUGUUGGAAGAGGUUAUAAGCUCUAGCUGUUGGAAGAGGUUAUAAGCUCUAGCUGUUGGAAGAGGUUAUAAGCUCUAGCUGUUGGAAGAGGUUAUACGCUCUAUCUGUUGGAAGAGGUUAUAUGCUCUAUCUGUUGGAAGAGGUUAUAAGCUCUAGCUGUUGGAAGAGGUUAUAAGCUCUAGCUGUUGGAAGAGGUUAUAAGCUCUAGCUGUUGGAAGAGGUUAUAAGCUCUAGCUCAUCACAUACACCAGUAUACAGUAUAUGACCAGGAGGGUUUCUAAAGCCUAAUUCAUACCGUACACAAAAACACAACGCAAGAACACAAUUAGUUACUCAAAAUCGCCAUCCUACAUAGUUACGUCGAGUUACAAACUCCGGAGCUGCGCAUAUUUGCGUAUUUUUGCUAUGCAAGUACACAGAACAGCCAUUUUGCAAAUAUGAUGGCAUUAUUGUGUACGGUCCACAUCAGGCUCAACAUAGAGACUUGUGACUGGCCCGAAGGAAGAAGAACAGGUAGCAUGCUAGCAGAUACCCAUAGACUUCCAGUCAUUGCGCUAACACUUGUUAGCAUUGGCUCACGAAACUACCUCUUAACUUCCUUCACACUGGACACAGAGACAUUAAAAUGCUAUCCAUGAGUUCAUCUGACUCUGGGGAAGUAGAUGAAGGGCCUCAUUGCCAAAAUCCCCAAGUAUCCCUUUAAUAAUAAUAUAUAAAUCAAAACAGACAUGGUAAUGACAAGAAAACGAAUUGGCUGAAAUAGCACCCUGUUCCCUAUAAAGUGCACUACCGCUACUUUAGUGCUCUAUUGUGGUCCAAAAUAGUGGGUUAUAUAGUGGAACAGGGUGCCAUUCAGGGACGAAUGAAUUGUUUCUUAACUGGUCUUCAGACGAGGUGGUUUUUCUUACUUUGCAAUAUAUCAACAAAUAACUUUUGGAAUGUGUUUUCAACAUCUAUCAUGUCCUAUUGCUCAUCUGUUCAAGACCUCUCCUUUAUGGCUCUAUGUUUUCAGAGAACAAUUCUGGACAUCAAUACAGAAUACAGCUAUAUAAUUACAGUCAUCAAUACAGAAUACAGCUAUAUAAUUACAGUCAUCAAUACAGAAUACAGCUAUAUAAUUCUAGACAUCAAUACAGAAUACAGCUAUAUAAUUCUAGACAUCAAUACAGAAUACAGCUAUAGAAUUCUAGACAUCAAUACAGAAUACAGCUAAAGAAUUCUAGUCAUUAAUACAGAAUACAGCUAUAGAAUUCUAGUCAUCAAUACAGAAUACAGCUAUAGAAUUCUAGACAUCAAUACAGAAUACAGCUAUAGAAUUCUAGACAUCAAUACAGAAUACAGCUAUAGAAUUCUGGACAUUAAUACAGAAUACAGCUAUAGAAUUCUGGACAUUAAUACAGAAUACAGCUAUAGAAUUCUAGACAUCAAUACAGAAUACAGCUAUAGAAUUCUAGACAUCAAUACAGAAUACAGCUAUAGAAUUCUAGACAUCAAUACAGAAUACAGCUAUAGAAUUCUGGACAUUAAUACAGAAUACAGCUAUAGAAUUCUGGACAUUAAUACAGAAUACAGCUAUAGAAUUCUGGACAUUAAUACAGAAUACAGCUAUAGAAUUCUGGACAUUAAUACAGAAUACAGCUGUAGAAUUCUGGACAUUAAUACAGAAUACAGCUGUAGAAUUCUGGACAUUAAUACAGAAUACAGCUACAGAAUUCUGGACAUUAAUACAGAAUACAGCUAUAGAAUUCUGAAUAUUAAUACAGAAUACAGCUAUAGAAUUCUGGACAUUAAUACAGAAUACAGCUAUAGAAUUCUGAAUAUUAAUACAGAAUACAGCUAUAGAAUUCUGGACAUUAAUACAGAAUACAGCUAUAGAAUUCUAGUCAUUAAUACAGAAUACAGCUAUAGAAUUCUAGUCAUUAAUACAGAAUACAGCUAUAGAAUUACAGUCAACAAUACAGAAUACAGCUAUAGAAUGCUGGACAUCAAUACGGAAUACAGCUAUAGAAUUCUGGACAUUAAUGCAGAAUACAGCUAUAGAAUUCUAUACAUUAAUACAGAAUACAGCUAUAGAAUUCUGGACAUUAAUACAGAAUACAGUAUAGAAUUCUGGAUAUUAAAACAGAAUACAGCUAUAGAAUUCUGUACAUCAAUACAGAAUACAGCUAUAGAAUUCUAGACAUCAAUACAGAAUACAGCUAUAGAAUUCUAGACAUCAAUACAGAAUACAGCUAUAGAAUUCUAGACAUCAAUACAGAAUACAGCUAUAGAAUUCUAGACAUCAAUACAGAAUACAGCUAUAGAAUUCUAGACAUCAAUACAGAAUACAGCUAUAGAAUUCUAGACAUCAAUACAGAAUACAGCUAUAGAAUUCUAGACAUCAAUACAGAAUACAGCUAUAGAAUUCUAGACAUCAAUACAGAAUACAGCUAUAGAAUUCUAGACAUCAAUACAGAAUACAGCUAAAGAAUUCUAGUCAUUAAUACAGAAUACAGCUAUAGAAUUCUAGUCAUGAAUACAGAAUACAGCUAUAGCUCUGAGUGCUCUGCUUAUUUGUUAGGUUAAGUUUCCCCUAAAUACUGAUAUUGGGCAGUUUUGCUAGCCUGGAUCCCACAUCUCUGUGUUAUCUUGCCGAUGUAACAGAGUGAGCUUCCUAUCCUAACUCCCAGCAGUGUGAGGAAGGAAGCUAUACUGUUAAACAAGCCCCGUGAAACCUGUUACACCUACUCUCCAAUUGCUAACUCUCAUUGUCAAGCCAUUUGUGUGGGAUGGCAAUUCCAUAACGAGUUGGCAAGAGAGCACAAACACACUGGCACCCAGGCUAAUACUUAGUAUAUCACCUAGCCUGGGCACCAGUCUGAUUGUGCUAACAUUCCCACCCCUUGUAGUGUGUUGUCAUAUGUUUGGCUGUGGCGAGGAGUGGUAAUGAUGGCACAAACUGAUCUGGGACCAGACUUACCAAAACACUUUAGAAGUGGGGGACAACCUGCACCUAUAUUUUCAGCAUGUUUCUGUUCUGAAUCAGUCACAGAUCACUACUCCCUUACAUUGAAAUGUCUUCAAGGUUUUUGGUUUUGUAUAGUGUGCUCUGUGCUAUCGGUCUAGUCAUGUUGGCUUUUCUCAAUAUAUUAAGCUGAUAUGCAAAGUUGUUUCUCCUUUCUCUUUUUUUUUAGAUAAUGGUGGGGUAUUUUACAUCCUUGAAAGGACUUUCAUAGUAAGGAGUUUGAACCCAGUCACAACGAUAAGGAAAUAUGAGGCUCCAGUCAGAAGGAGUGUAAUAUAUAGGGAAUAGGGGAAGAUUUGGGACGCACAAUUACGUUACACACUUAGGGUUGAAAUGUAUUUAAAUACAGAGCUUUUUUUAUUUGUAUUUUACGAAGAGAAAAUCUUUGAUUUCAAGCUGCUUCAUGUGUUUGUGUCUUUUGUAACGAUGAAAGAUAAACCUUGCGUUUUUCUCCGUUUGUAUAUUUGACGGAACACAGGAACAAUGGAACUGAGGGUGCGUCCAAAAUAGCAACCUAUUCCCUAUGUAGUGCCCUACUUAUGACAGGCUCUGGUCUAAUGUAGGGCACUAAUAUAGGGAAUAGGGUGCCGUUUGGGACACAAAGGAAAAGUUACCGAUCAUCAUCUUUACCUCACUGAGGGAAUUUUCAGGGAUUGUUUUGACAAUGCAUCUUCAUACCCGUUCAAUACCUGUUCAAUACCCGUUCAAUACUCGUUCAAUACCUGUUCAAUACCCGUUCAAUACUCGUUCAAUACCUGUUUAACGUGUGGAUACAUUUAGAACACGAUGCCAUUUAUAAACGAUGUGUAGAAAACUGUCAACAGGGCAGUUGAUACUUCCUGAUGUUAAAGGACGUUGACCAUAUGUAUUGUAAACAUGUUUAUACGACAAAUAAAUAUUGAAUAAUAAUUUUC